rnacentral:rRNA from 1 species
GAUGAGCGCUAGCUACAGGCUUAACACAUGCAAGUCGAGGGGCAGCAUGGUCUUAGCUUGCUAAGGCCGAUGGCGACCGGCGCACGGGUGAGUAACACGUAUCCAACCUGCCGUCUACUCUUGGACAGCCUUCUGAAAGGAAGAUUAAUACAAGAUGGCAUCAUGAGUCCGCAUGUUCACAUGAUUAAAGGUAUUCCGGUAGACGAUGGGGAUGCGUUCCAUUAGAUAGUAGGCGGGGUAACGGCCCACCUAGUCUUCGAUGGAUAGGGGUUCUGAGAGGAAGGUCCCCCACAUUGGAACUGAGACACGGUCCAAACUCCUACGGGAGGCAGCAGUGAGGAAUAUUGGUCAAUGGGCGAGAGCCUGAACCAGCCAAGUAGCGUGAAGGAUGACUGCCCUAUGGGUUGUAAACUUCUUUUAUAAAGGAAUAAAGUCGGGUAUGCAUACCCGUUUGCAUGUACUUUAUGAAUAAGGAUCGGCUAACUCCGUGCCAGCAGCCGCGGUAAUACGGAGGAUCCGAGCGUUAUCCGGAUUUAUUGGGUUUAAAGGGAGCGUAGAUGGAUGUUUAAGUCAGUUGUGAAAGUUUGCGGCUCAACCGUAAAAUUGCAGUUGAUACUGGAUAUCUUGAGUGCAGUUGAGGCAGGCGGAAUUCGUGGUGUAGCGGUGAAAUGCUUAGAUAUCACGAAGAACUCCGAUUGCGAAGGCAGCCUGCUAAGCUGCAACUGACAUUGAGGCUCGAAAGUGUGGGUAUCAAACAGGAUUAGAUACCCUGGUAGUCCACACGGUAAACGAUGAAUACUCGCUGUUUGCGAUAUACAGCAAGCGGCCAAGCGAAAGCGUUAAGUAUUCCACCUGGGGAGUACGCCGGCAACGGUGAAACUCAAAGGAAUUGACGGGGGCCCGCACAAGCGGAGGAACAUGUGGUUUAAUUCGAUGAUACGCGAGGAACCUUACCCGGGCUUAAAUUGCAGAUGAAUUACGGUGAAAGCCGUAAGCCGCAAGGCAUCUGUGAAGGUGCUGCAUGGUUGUCGUCAGCUCGUGCCGUGAGGUGUCGGCUUAAGUGCCAUAACGAGCGCAACCCUUGUUGUCAGUUACUAACAGGUUCUGCUGAGGACUCUGACAAGACUGCCAUCGUAAGAUGUGAGGAAGGUGGGGAUGACGUCAAAUCAGCACGGCCCUUACGUCCGGGGCUACACACGUGUUACAAUGGGGGGUACAGAGGGCCGCUACCACGCGAGUGGAUGCCAAUCCCCAAAACCUCUCUCAGUUCGGACUGGAGUCUGCAACCCGACUCCACGAAAGCUGGAUUCGCUAGUAAUCGCGCAUCAGCCACGGCGCGGUGAAUACGUUCCCGGGCCU